CAUCCCGGAUGCGCCAAAGAUUUAUCGGCAGAGGAUGGGCCUGCGUCUGAUUAGUUAGUUGGUGGGGUAACGGCCUACCAAGGCGACGAUCAGUAGCCGACCUGAGAGGGUGAUCGGCCACAUUGGAACUGAGACACGGUCCAAACUCCUACGGGAGGCAGCAGUGGAGAAUCUUGCACAAGGGGCGAAAGCCUGAUGCAGCAACGCCGCGUGAAGGAAGGGGGCCCUUGGGUCGUAAACUUCUUUCUAAGGGAA
rnacentral:rRNA from 1 species